UGGGAGAAACCAGGCUCAGUUGGGGGGCCAGUUCUCCUCUGACCAGACGAAACCAGUAGUUCAAUUCCAGGCUGCAGCAAAGUCAGAUUGUGCAGAAGAAUCAUCUGUUUCCUGUGGUCUUGUUCUGGUGCUCCUCUGAGAAAAGGUCUUUACAGGGGAUCUGUAUCUGGGGCUCUAGUUGUCCUGGUCUCCGCUGUCUUUCAGGGCAGUAGAGGUCCUUUCUAGGUGCUGAUCCACCAUCUGGUCUGGAUACGUACUGGAUCCGGGUGACUGCAGUGACCCUCUGAUCUGGAUACAGACUGGAUCUGGUGGCCACGGUGACCUCGGAACAAGAGAGAAACAGACAAAUAUUAGCGUAGAUGCCAUUCUUCUAAUGAUGUAGAAAGUACGGUGUUAUUUGAAGUGUUUCCGGUUCCGGUUUACCUAAUUAAUGCAGCCUAAAAAUCCUUUAACGGAUUUGGAUAUUAAAUAUAUAUUAGUAUGUUAUGUGUAUGCCAGGUUAAAGAGAUGGGUCUUUAAUCUAGAUUUAAACUGCAAGAGUGUGUCUGCCUCCCGAACAAUGUUAGGUAGGUUAU